AACAGCAGGACAGAGUACAGAAAAGAGCCAGCAGGACAGGAAUGGGGAGCUCCUGGUGACCUGGGCACUUUCUCCUUCAUGUCCGUGACCUGGCAGGAGCUGCUUUAGGACAUGGAUCCCAAAGGAGCAAGAGGGACCAGGAAGCGCCACUGAUCUGCACAGACCCCUUUGCCUGCCGCUGCCCCACAGGGAACAGGAGCCGCUUUAGGACAUGGAUCCCAAAGGAGCAAGAGGGACCAGGAAGCGCCGCUGAUCUGCACAGACCCCUUUGCCUGCUGCUGCCCCACAGGGAACAGGCCAGCGCAA